rnacentral:rRNA from 1 species
AGCAGCCGCGGUAAUUCCAGCUCCAAUAGCGUAUAUUAAAGUUGCUGCAGUUAAAAAGCUCGUAGUUGAAUUUCGGGACCAUCAUGUCGGUCGUGCCUCGGUACGUACUGGCAUCGUCGGUUUCUCCCUUCUGACGAACCAUGAUGUCAUUUAUUUGGUGUCGUGGGGAAUUAGGACUGUUACUUUGAAAAAAUUAGAGUGUUUAAAGCAGGCUCACGCUUGAAUACAUUAGCAUGGAAUAAUGAAAUAGGACGUUUGAUUCUAUUUUGUUGGUUUCUAGGAUUGGCGUAAUGAUUAAUAGGGAUAGUUGGGGGCAUUAGUAUUCAAUUGUCAGAGGUGAAAUUCUUGGAUUUAUUGAAGACUAACUACUGCGAAAGCAUUUGCCAAGGAUGUUUUCAUUAAUCAAGAACGAAAGUUAGGGGAUCGAAGACGAUCAGAUACCGUCGUAGUCUUAACCAUAAACUAUGCCGACUAGGGAUCGGAUGAUGUUAAUUUUUAAUGACUUAUUCGGCGCCUUAAC